rnacentral:rRNA from 1 species
UACACGCUGUGACUAGCAUAUCAAUAAGCGGAGGAAAAGAAACUAACAAGGAUUCCCCUAGUAACGGCGAGUGAAGCGGGAAGAGCUCAAAUUUGAAAUCUUAAAGGGUUUCCCUUUACGAAUUGUAGUUUAAAGAAGUGUUUUCUGUUGAGGUUUUGGUAAAAGUUCUUCGGAAUAGGACAUCAUAGAGGGUGAGAAUCCCGUAUUUGACCUUUACUUUCAACUUUGUGAUACACUUUCAAAGAGUCGGAUUGUUUGGGAAUGCAGUCCAAAAUGGGUGGUAAAUUUCAUCUAAAGCUAAAUAUUGGCGAGAGACCGAUAGCGAACAAGUACCGUGAGGGAAAGAUGAAAAGAACUUUGAAAAGAGAGUUAAACAGUACGUGAAAUUGUCAAAAGGGAAGCGUUUGACACCAGUGUUGUUUUUCUGAAAAUCAAUUAAAGAACUGUUUAUGCUAAGUUGUUUAGACUUUAUCAGCUAACUGUUUAGUUUUGAGCUUUUCUUUAAUGCACUUUUCAGUUAACAGGUCAACAUCAAUUUCUUUUGCUGUAAAAAGCUUGAGGAAGGUGGCUUGAGAUUCGUCUUAAGUGUUUAUAGCCUCUUGCCUAUGCAGUCGGAGAGAUUGAGGUCUGCAGCGUAGAUCCUUCGGGGCUAAAUGCAUUUGUGCUAAGUUAUAGCAUUUUAUAGACAACUUGUUGACUAUGAUUUGUCUUGUAGCUUACUCGCUUAUGUUAUUUUACCUACGCUUAGGAUGUUGACAGCAGUAUAGACUGU